rnacentral:tRNA from 1 species
CAUUAGAUGACUGAAGGCAAGUAAUGGUCUCUUAAACCAAAAAAUAGUAAA